rnacentral:rRNA from 1 species
GUACGGGGGGGCAAGCGUUGUUCGGAAUUACUGGGCGUAAAGGGCGUGUAGGCGGCCAACUAAGUCCGACGUGAAAUCCCCAGCUUAACCUGGGAACUGCGUCGGAUACUGGAUGGCUUGAAUUCGGGAGAGGGAUGCAGAAUUCCAGGUGUAGCGGUGAAAUGCGUAGAUAUCUGGAGGAAUACCGGUGGCGAAGGCGGCAUCCUGGACCGACAUUGACGCUGAGGAGCGAAAGCUAGGGGAGCAAACGGGG